ACAAAAUGCCAAGACGGGACAGCAUUUUUUCGCCAACCGCCAUAAAACCGCACACAGCAGAUAAGACAACACACACACACACGCAACAAUAUUUGUGGCCUUUUUUUUUUUUACCUCAAAGUCGAAAAAAAAUCAGAAGAAGAAGCUGCAGCACUUUGCAGGCGAAUCGAAGCCGGUCAGUUUGCGUUUCCCUUCACAAGUGACUGCAUCGACCAGUUUCAGUGAACCACGUUUUGUUAUCCCCCGUGCAACCGACAGAUAAAUUGAUUGGGAAUCGGCGUGAAAACCGCGAAAAAGCCGGCGACCACAAAUUGGUAGAGAAAAAGAUAAGAGAAGCGAACGAGAGGACGUGGAGAAGAGAAAAAUAAUUAAUUUGGAAGCAAACUUGGCCAAGGAGGAGACCUUGGGAAAGGUUAUUUUCCAUUCCAUCGUUGCGUGUUGCGCGCAUCAUCAGCAUUUCGAUGGUCAAGCACACACAACCCAUCUGUUCCUGGGUGCUCAGAGACCCCGCUAAUUUCGGGCACAAAAAGUUCACAGCGUUGCGGCGCGGAUCUUCCACACAAGCCAAUUAUCUCGGGGCCGCUUCAACUUGAAUACAAACGCCACAAAGGAAUGGAGGACGCCACUGCCAAUCACAUUUAAAGAUGAAUCUCUUCAGAGUUGCAAGAUAAAGAAGUUGGAACAAGCCGACCGAUUCGACAGAGACGGUUAAAACUUUCUCGUUUGAGGAGGAGCUGGAGUCAAGAUGGCACUUCAACCAAUACCAUGGCUCGACCUUUUCCCAGUUGGAAAGAAAAGAACAGCCGCCAAGGAGAGAAGAGAGAUACUGUGGCAGCUGGAAACUUCUCAAUUGUGAAGCCGCGCUUGAUUGGAAAAAAAGAAGAAAGACGAGAGGAUAUGGCUGAAACGCGUCGGCAUUACAACAACCAUUUGAGAUAAUGGGACUUCUUUAAAAUCUUUUAAAAACUAGAGCCUAUAGGCCUGCUAGAAAUUGA